GAUGAACGCUGGCGGCGUGCUUAACACAUGCAAGUCGAACGGAAAGGCCGAAGCUUGCUUCGGUACUCGAGUGGCGAACGGGUGAGUAACACGUGGGUGAUCUGCCCUGUACUUCGGGAUAAGCUUGGGAAACUGGGUCUAAUACCGGAUAUGACGAUCUCUUGGAUGGGGUUGUGGAAAGCUUUUGCGGUAUGGGAUGAGCUCGCGGCCUAUCAGCUUGUUGGUGGGGUAAUGGCCUACCAAGGCGUCGACGGGUAGCCGGCCUGAGAGGGUGUACGGCCACAUUGGGACUGAGAUACGGCCCAGACUCCUACGGGAGGCAGCAGUGGGGAAUAUUGCACAAUGGGCGCAAGCCUGAUGCAGCGACGCCGCGUGGGGGAUGACGGCCUUCGGGUUGUAAGCUCCUUUCGCAAUCGACGAAGCCUUUUGGUGACGGUAGGUUGAGAAGAAGCACCGGCUAACUACGUG
rnacentral:rRNA from 1 species